UUUGCACUUUUUGCUCUAUCAUUAUCAUGCCCAUGGGAUUUAGCCUAGAUGCCUGACAUUGAUUAAAACCACUGAAGUCUCAAGGAGCCUGGGUGGCUCAGUCUGCUAAGUAUCUGACCUCAGCUCAGGUUAUGAUCUCACAAUUCAUGGGGUCAGGCUCCACAUCGAACUCUAUGCUGACAGCCUGGAGCCUGGAACCUACUUCGGAUUCUGUGUCUCCUAUCUCUCUGCCCACCCAUCCCCCUCAAAAUAAAUAAACAUUAAAAAAAAACACUGAAGACUCAAGAAGUUAAAUAGGGCAGGAAGAUGAGUAAUGUAAAAUAAGUUAUGAUUUGGAACCUCAGUUCCCACAUAUACAGAGGGAGAAGAAUAGAGUUGUAAGGAGAGUUCAACAAGGAAACAUAUCAAAGUAUCUGGCCUGCUGUAGGUGAUGGGAAAGUCCAUUUCUUUGUCAAGAUGGAGGAAAGAUUGUGAAGGGUCAUCUACCUCCAAUUUAGAGAGACGUACAAUCAGAGGUUAUGAAGGCAACCCGAGUCAGAGAAAAGCAAGCAACCUAGAAAAAUGAGUAAAGGAUCUGAUCAAGAACUGAAAUACAAUGACCAGUAAGUAUAAGAUUUCUAUCUCAUUAAAAAUAAAAAUAAAUGCAAAUUAAAAUGAGGAACCAUAUUUACUUUACCACUUAAUGUUUGAUGACACACAAAGUUGGUGAUGAUUCUAUUGCUGUUAGAAUAAAUCAGUACACACUUUUUUGAGGGACAGUUCAGCUAUCAUCUUUAAAAUUUUUUUUAAAUGCACAUAUACUGACUCAGAAAAU